UGGAAACGCUUUAGAAAUACAACCCUAGGAAACUUUCUAAUUCUUCCGGCAUGUAUCUCCCGUUCUGCUGCUGAUCCGUUUCAUUAUUUGGAUAUUGUUCACCAACUCAAAAAAAUAAUUGCAAGUUAAUAAUCAUCUGCAUUGAUCCAGAAAACGAGCUUCAAGGCAGCCAAAAAGAUUCAAUUUGAGAACAAGUUAUUUUUCCCAUCAAGCCAGCUAUGAAGAUGAAUGGACUUUACCGACUUGCAGCGCUGCGAAUGCCUGUUGUUUUUGAACGUGGAUGGCCUCCAUACUCCAUGGAAUGAUCCUCGACCUAUCCACGAGUUACGGUAUGUCAAAAUCCAU
rnacentral:lncRNA from 11 species